rnacentral:rRNA from 1 species
AACGAACGCUGGCGGCAGGCCUAAAACAUGCAAGUCGAGCGGGCAUAGCAAUAUGUCAGCGGCGGACGGGUGAAUAACACGUGGGAACAUGCCCUUUGGUACGGAACAACUCAGGGAAACUUGAGCUAAUACCGUAUGUGCCGGUAACGGGAAAGAUUUAUCGCCAAAGGAUUGGCCCGCGUCCGAUUAGCUAGUUGGUGAGGUAACGGCUCACCAAGGCGACGAUCGGUAGCUGGUUUGAGAGAACGAUCAGCCACACUGGGACUGAGACACGGCCCAGACUCCUACGGGAGGCAGCAGUUGGGAAUCUUGGACAAUGGGGAAACCCUGAUCCAGCCAUGCCGCGUGAGCGAUGAAGGCCCUCGGGUUGUAAAGCUCUUUCGCCAGGGACGAUAAUGACGGUA